CUGCGGCGCUUUAUUAGCAUACGAAGUUUUCUUCUCUUGUAAUAGCUUGCAAGUUGCAAUAUGUCCUCAGUACGAAAAGCCAGCAGGUUUAACAUCGACUCUCUCCAGACCAGCAUGAUGAAUCAUUUUAAAGUCAGAGGCUCUGCUCAGACCCUGACAGAAGAAAACUACCAACAGACACAGGACCAUGUACACAAUUUCCGGGCACUCAUAAAACAGCUGAAGCAGAACCCAGCCCAGAAGUCCUGCUCAAACAUCAGGAGGCUGCUGAGCAUCAUUUAAGGGCUUUAUAAAGCCCAUGCCCUGAAAAUGGCUCUUCCCACUGGCUGCUCAUUCUCAGCUGGCACAUAAGGCUGCUCUUGACUUUGACCUAUAAAACUCCAGAAUUA